CCUACGGGUGGCAGCAGUCGAGAAUCAUUCACAAUGGGGGAAACCCUGAUGGUGCGACGCCGCGUGGGGGAAUGAAGGUCUUCGGAUUGUAAACCCCUGUCAUGUGGGAGCAAAUUAAAAAGAUAGUACCACAAGAGGAAGAGACGGCUAACUCUGUGCCAGCAGCCGCGGUAAUACAGAGGUCUCAAGCGUUGUUCGGAAUCACUGGGCGUAAAGCGUGCGUAGGCUGUUUCGUAAGUCGUGUGUGAAAGGCGCGGGCUCAACCCGCGGACGGCACAUGAUACUGCGAGACUAGAGUAAGGGAGGGGGAACCGGAAUUCUCGGUGUAGCAGUGAAAUGCGUAGAGAGCGAGAGGAACACUCGUGGCGAAGGCGGGUUCCUGGACAUUAACUGACGCUGAGGCACGAAGGCCAGGGGAGCGAAAGGGAUUAGAUACCCUAGUAGUC
rnacentral:rRNA from 1 species